CCUCGCGCUGGCCGUUAGUUCGCCCUCUCCCGCAGCCCUGCCCUUUCGCGCUGGCCGUUAGCUCGCCCCUGGGCGCACGCAGCUGCUUCGGGCCGGUCUCUGCCCAAGCGGGGAGGGCGGGGAAGGGAAGGGUGGUGGAGGUUUCCUGCACCUCUCCCGGCUAGUGCGCAGUUUUUUCAUUGCUUUCGCCCUGGGAGAACAAAGGAGACUUCGUAAGACUGCAGGGUGGCUUUGCUGCUGGUCGUGCGCUGUCCUCGGCUAAGCUCCGGGCCUUGAGUAUUUGUAUCUGUGAGACAGCCGGAGGUGCUGGCAGACCUACCUGCUGUAAUCGCACAAAGAAAAUCCUUUGAAGCAGUUUUGAAGGAGAGAAGUCCUGUAUAUCAGGCUGACUUUGGUGUCUCCGUGCCUCCUGCAAUAUGAGGAGAUCCUACCACGACUCAGGAUGAUGGCUUUCAAGAAUACCUGGAAAUGUAAGACUGAAAUAAUCUUAGGCUGAUGACAUGUUUUAUGGGGAGUGUUGGCAUUGCUUCUAGAGUAACCAGCUCUACAGCCACUGAACACUUUUUGCCAAGAAGCGAAACAGUAAAUGCCUCAUUGCGUUACUCUGUUCUGUUUUGGAGAAAUUAUCUGCAUUGUCACAUUAUUCAUUAA
rnacentral:lncRNA from 1 species